UUGAGGAACCUGUGCUCGGUUUUUCUGCUGUUUCCGGUCGGACACAUUUGGCCGCUGCACCGGUGAAAAACGUGUUGUAAACAAACGUGCGCGCGCCGCUUUAACCGAUAAAAAAAUAUCAAAUAAAAUAAUAAGAACAAAAGUGACGUCAUCAAAAAGUGAAGCGGACAAACAUGAAGCGGAAACUGAAGCCGAGUCCGGAUCCUGUGGACUAUGAGGUCGGUCUGGUCUCCGGGAGCCUCGCAAAGUCCGGGUCCAGGUCUGGGUCCAGGUCCGGGUCUGAGUCUCUCUCGGCUCUGUUCACCUCCUCAACCCUGAAAACUGAGCCCAAGGUCAGACCUGGUUUAGUCCUGGUUUAGUCCUGGUUUAGUCCUGGUUUAGUCCUGGUUUAGUUCUGGUUUAGUCCUGGUUUAGUCCUGGUUUAGUUCUGGUUUAUUCCACAAAUCACUUUUUUUGU